rnacentral:rRNA from 1 species
AUUGAACGCUGGCGGCAGGCCUAACACAUGCAAGUCGAGCGGUAGCACAGAGAGCUUGCUCUCGGGUGACGAGCGGCGGACGGGUGAGUAAUGUUUGGGAAACUGCCUGAUGGAGGGGGAUAACUACUGGAAACGGUAGCUAAUACCGCAUAACGUCGCAAGACCAAAGUGGGGGACCUUCGGGCCUCAUGCCAUCAGAUGUGCCCCGAUGGGAUUAGCUAGUAGGUGGGGUAACGGCUCACCUAGGCGACGAUCCCUAGCUGGUUUGAGAGGAUGACCAGCCCCCCUGGAACUGAGACCCGGUCCCGACUCCUACGGGAGGCAGCAGUGGGGAAUAUUGCACAAUGGGCGCAAGCCUGAUGCAGCCCUGCCGCGUGUAUGAAGAAGGCCUUCGGGUUGUAAAGUACUUUCAGCGGGGAGGAAGGCGAUAAGGUUAAUAACCUUGUCGAUUGACGUUACCCGCAGAAGAAGCACCGGCUAACUCCGUG